rnacentral:rRNA from 1 species
GAUGAACGCUGGCGGCGUGCCUAAUACAUGCAAGUCGAGCGAACGGACGAGAAGCUUGCUUCUCUGAUGUUAGCGGCGGACGGGUGAGUAACACGUGGAUAACCUACCUAUAAGACUGGGAUAACUUCGGGAAACCGGAGCUAAUACCGGAUGAUAUUUUGAACCGCAUGGUUCAAAAGUGAAAGACGGUCUUGCUGUCACUUAUAGAUGGAUCCGAGCUGCAUUAGCUAGUUGGUAAGGUAACGGCUUACCAAGGCAACGAUGCAUAGCCGACCUGAGAGGGUGAUCAGCCACACUGGAACUGAGACACGGUCCAGACUCCUACGGGAGGCAGCAGUAGGGAAUCUUCCGCAAUGGGCGAAAGCCUGACGGAGCAACGCCGCGUGAGUGAUGAAGGUCUUCGGAUCGUAAAACUCUGUUAGUAGGGAAGAACAUAUGUGUAAGUAACUGUGCACAUCUUGACGGUACCUAAUCAGAAAGCCACGGCUAACUACGUG